AGUGAACGCUGGCGGUAGGCCUAACACAUGCAAGUCGAACGGCAGCACAGUAAGAGCUUGCUCUUACGGGUGGCGAGUGGCGGACGGGUGAGGAAUACAUCGGAAUCUACUUUUUCGUGGGGGAUAACGUAGGGAAACUGACGCUAAUACCGCAUACGACCUACGGGUGAAAGCAGGGGAUCUUCGGACCUUGCGCGAUUGAAUGAGCCGAUGUCGGAUUAGCUAGUUGGCGGGGUAAAGGCCCACCAAUGCGACGAUCCGUAGCUGGUCUGAGAGGAUGAUCAGCCACACUGGAACUGAGACACGGUCCAGACUCCUACGGGAGGCAGCAGUGGGGAAUAUUGGACAAUGGGCGCAAGCCUGAUCCAGCCAUACCGCGUGGGUGAAGAAGGCCUUCGGGUUGUAAAGCCCUUUUGUUGGGAAAGAAAAGCAGCAGGUUAAUCCCCCGCUGUUCUGACGGUACCCAAAGAAUAAGCACCGGCUAACUUCGUG
rnacentral:rRNA from 1 species